AUUGAACGCUGGCGGCAGGCCUAACACAUCCAAGUCGGGCGAGAGGCGGACGGGUGAGUAAUGUAUGUGGAUCUGCCCGAUAGAGGGGGAUAGCUACUGGAAACGGUGGCUAAUACCGCAUACUAUCGGAUGAACCCAGAUGGGAGUAGCGAGUAGGUGGGGUAACGGCUCACCGAGGCGACGAUCUCUAACUGGUCUGAGAGGAUGAUCAGCCACACUGGAACUGUGACACGGCCCAGACUACUACGUGAGGCAGCAGUGGGGAAUAUUGCACAAUGGGCGCAAGCAUGAUGCAGCCAUGCCGCGUGUAUGAAGAAGGCCUUAGGGUUGUAAAGCACUUUCAGCGAGGAGGCGUUACCAGCAGAAGAAGCACCGGCUAACUCCGUGCCAGCAGCCGCGGUAAUAC
rnacentral:rRNA from 1 species